GGAAUCGGUAGUAAUCGCGGAUCAGCAGGUCGCGGUGAAUACGUUCUCGGGUCUUGCACACACCGCCCGUCAAGCCAACAAAGUCGAGGGCGGCCGAUGGUCCCGAUUUAUCGGGACUGAAGCCGAACUCGGUGAUGGGGACUAAGUCGUAACAAGGUAUCCCUACUGGAAGGUGGGGAUGGAUCACCUCCUUU
rnacentral:ncRNA from 1 species